rnacentral:rRNA from 1 species
GACAGAGGGUGCGAACGUUGUUCGGAAUUACUGGGCGUAAAGCGCGUGUAGGCGGCUCGGAAAGUCGGAUGUGAAAGCCCUGGGCUUAACCUAGGAAGUGCAUUCGAAACUCCCGAGCUUGAGUUCUGGAGAGGAAGGCGGAAUUCUCGGUGUAGAGGUGAAAUUCGUAGAUAUCGAGAGGAACACCGGUGGCGAAGGCGGCCUUCUGGACAGUGACUGACGCUGAGACGCGAAAGCGUGGGGAGCAAACAGG